rnacentral:rRNA from 1 species
GUGCCAGCAGCCGCGGUAAUACGGGGGGGGCAAGCGUUGUUCGGAAUUACUGGGCGUAAAGGGUUCGUAGGUGGCCAACUAAGUCAGACGUGAAAUCCCUCAGCUUAACUGGGGAACUGCGUCUGAGACUGGAUGGCUUGAGUGCAGGAGAGGAACGCGGAAUUCCAGGUGUAGCGGUGAAAUGCGUAGAUAUCUGGAGGAACACCGGUGGCGAAGGCGGCGUUCUGGACUGCUACUGACACUGAGGAACGAAAGCCAGGGGAGCAAACGGGAUUAGAUACCCCCGUAGUCC